CUCCAGCCCGGGAUUCCCAGGUGUUCCCAUUCGGGGUUCAGGACAGAACACUCACCAUGGAGUUUGGGCUGAGCUGGGUUGUCCUUGUGGCGAUUUUACAAGGUGUCCAGUGCGAGGCGCAGCUGGUGGAGUCUGGGGGCGGCUUGGUGCAGCCAGGGGGGUCUCUGCGACUCUCCUGUGCAGCCUCUGGAUUCACCUUCAACAACUCCAAGAACACGCUGUAUCUGCAAAUGAACAGCCUGAGAUCUGAUGACACGGCCGUGUAUUACUGUGCGAGUGACACAGUGACGGGAAGUCAGU